rnacentral:rRNA from 1 species
AUGGCAUUUCCUUAUGUAGGAUAUUCAUGGAUAGUGGGGAAUGGCAAGAAUAUUAGAUUUUGGGAAGACCAGUGGUUGGGUCAUACUACUCUAGCUACCCAGUAUUGGGAGCUAUACUCUAUUGCCAAUGACCACAAUGUUUCUGUUAGUGAGGUCUGGGAUGGCACCAAUCUA